rnacentral:rRNA from 1 species
UUGGGGGUUAUCCCGGCUAGAAGAAGCCCCCGGCGUAAUCCCCGGUACCCCAACCACCCGCGGGUAAAUUGCGGAGGGGGGGCCAGGGGUUAAUCGGGAAUUUCUUGGGGGUGAAAGCCCCUGCCCAGGCCGGUCUGUCAAGGUCGGAUUGUGAUAAUACCCGAGCUCUCACCGCGGAGUGUGCAGUGGAUGGCUUCAGGCUAGAGUCUAGUACACGGUGGUAUGACUCCAGGCGGAGCGGUGUCUCGCGUCUGUCCCUCGAGGAAUCCCGGUGGCGAAGGCGGCCCCCUGGACUAAGACUGGCGUUCAGGUGCGAUAGCGUGGGGAGCAACCAGGAUUAGAUACCCUGGUAGUCCUCGCCGUAAACGAUGUACACUCGGAGGUUGUGCCCUUGAGGCGUGGCUUCCGGAACUAACGCGUUAAGUCGAUCGCCUGGGGAGUACGGCCGCAAGGUUAAAACUCAAAUGAAUUGCCGGGGGCCCGCACAAGCGGUGGAGCAUGUGGUUUAAUUCGAUGCAACGCGAAGAACCUUACCUACUCUUGACAUCCAGAGAACUUUCCAGAGAUGGAUUGGUGCCUUCGGGAACUUUGAGACAGGUGCUGCAUGGCUGUCGUCAGCUCGUGUUGUGAAAUGUUGGGUUAAGUCCCGCAACGAGCGCAACCCUUAUCCUUUGUUGCCAGCGGUUCGGCCGGGAACUCAAAGGAGACUGCCAGUGAUAAACUGGAGGAAGGUGGGGAUGACGUCAAGUCAUCAUGGCCCUUACGAGUAGGGCUACACACGUGCUACAAUGGCGCAUACAAAGAGAAGCGACCUCGCGAGAGCAAGCGGACCUCAUAAAGUGCGUCGUAGUCCGGAUUGGAGUCUGCAACUUGACUCCAUGAAGUCGGAAUCGCUAGUAAUCGUGGAUCAGAAUGCCACGGUGAAUACGUUCCCGGGCCUUGUACACCCCGCCCGUCACCCCAUGGGAGUGGGUUGCUAAAAGAAGUAGGUAGCUUAACCUUCGGGGAAGCCCCCUAACCCCCA